rnacentral:rRNA from 1 species
AACACAUGCAAGUCGAGGGCAACGCGAGUAGCAAUACUUGGCGGCGACCGGCGCAAGGGUGCGUAACGCGUGAGCAACAUGCCCGUAUCAGGGGGAUAAUCCAGGGAAACUUGGUCUAAUACCCCAUAGUAAUUUUGUAAGGCAUCUUAUAAGAUUUAAAGCUUUGGUGGAUACGGAUUGGCUCGCGUGACAUUAGCUGGAUGGUAAGGUAACGGCUUACCAUGGCUAUGAUGUCUAGGGGUUCUGAGAGGAAGGUCCCCCACACUGGAACUGAGACACGGUCCAGACUCCUACGGGAGGCAGCAGUGAGGAAUAUUGGACAAUGGAUGGAAAUCUGAUCCAGCCAUGCCGCGUGAAAAGGAAGAAGGUCCUAUGGAUUGUAAACUUCUUUUGUAUGGGAGCAAUAAGGCCUACGAGUAGGUUGAUGAGAGUACCAUACGAAUAAGCACCGGCUAACUCCGUGCCAGCAGCUGC